rnacentral:rRNA from 1 species
CCUACGGGUGGCAGCAGUGAGGAAUAUUGGUCAAUGGCCGAGAGGCUGAACCAGCCACGUCGCGUGAGGGAAGACGGCCCUACGGGUUGUAAACCUCUUUUGUCGGGGAGCAAAGCGAGUCACGUGUGACUCAUUGAGAGUACCCGAAGAACACGCAUCGGCUAACUCCGUGCCAGCCGCCGCGGUAAUACGUAGGAUGCGUGCGUUAUCCGGAUUUAUUGGGUUUCAGGGGUGCGCAGGCGGGGGUGCAAGUCAGCGGUCAAAUUGCGGGGCUCAACCCCGUACUGCCGUUGAAACUGCAUCACUUGAGUGCGCGAGAGGUAAGCGGAAUGCGUGGUGUAGCGGUGAAAUGCAUAGAUAUCACGCAGAACCCCGAUGGCGAAGGCAGCAUACCGGCGCGCAACUGACGCUGAGGCACGAAAGCGUGGGUAUCGAACAGGAUUAGAUACCCGGGUAGUC